rnacentral:rRNA from 1 species
GAUGAACGCUGGCGGCGUGCCUAAUACAUGCAAGUCGAGCGAACAGACGAGGAGCUUGCUCCUCUGACGUUAGCGGCGGACGGGUGAGUAACACGUGGAUAACCUACCUAUAAGACUGGGAUAACUUCGGGAAACCGGAGCUAAUACCGGAUAAUAUAUUGAACCGCAUGGUUCAAUAGUGAAAGACGGUUUUGCUGUCACUUAUAGAUGGAUCCGCGCCGCAUUAGCUAGUUGGUAAGGUAACGGCUUACCAAGGCAACGAUGCGUAGCCGACCUGAGAGGGGGACCGCCCACACGGGAACGGAAACCGGGCCAAGACUCCGGGGGGGGGAGCCAGAGGGGAUUUUUCAGAAAGGGGCAAAGCCCGGAGGGAGAACCGCCGCGGGGUGAAUAAAGUUUUCGGAAUCAAAAAACGUUUUUAUUGGGAAAAACAAAAUGUGAAAUAACAAUGGCACGCCUGGAGGGACCCUAAUAAGAAGCCCCCGCCUAACUCGGUC